rnacentral:tRNA from 1 species
GGAGAGUUGGCAGAGUGGUUGAAUGCGGCGGUCUUGAAAACCGUUAAGAAGCAGUAAAAUUCCUCA